AUUGAACGCUGGCGGCAUGCCUUACACAUGUAAGUCGAACGGCAGCACGGGUGCUUGCACCUGGUGGCGAGUGGCGAAAGGGUGAGUAAUACAUAGGAACAUGUCCUGUAGUGGGGGAUAGCCCGGCGAAAGCCGGAUUAAUACCGCAUACGAUCUACGGAUGAAAGCGGGGGACCUUCGGGCCUCGCGUUAUUGGGUUGGCCGAUGGCUGAUUAGCUAGUUGGUGGGGUACAGGACUACCAAGGCGACGAACAGUAGCUGGUCUGAGAGGUCGACCAGCCACACUGGGACUGAGACACGGCCCAGACUCCUACGGGAGGCAGCGAUGGGGAAUUUUGGACAAUGGGCGAAAGCCUGAUCCAGCAAUGCCGCGUGUGUGAAGAUGGCCUUCGGGUUGUAAAGCACUUUUGUCCGGAAAGAAAUCCUUGGCCCUAAUACGGUCUGGGGAUGACGGUACCGGAAGAAUGAGCUCGUGCUAACUACGUG
rnacentral:rRNA from 1 species